GCCGCCAUAGCUCAGUGGUAGAGCACACCAUUGGUAAUGGUGGGGUCGGUGGUUCAAUUCCACUUGGCGGCACCA
rnacentral:tRNA from 2 species